GGGUUGUGAGGUUAAGCGACUAAGCGUACACGGUGGAUGCCCUGGCAGUCAGAGGCGAUGAAGGGCGUGCUAAUCUGCGAUAAGCGCCGGUAAGGUGAUAUGAACCGUUAUAACCGGCGAUACCCGAAUGGGGAAACCCAGUGUGAUUCGUCACACUAUCAUUAACUGAAUCCAUAGGUUAAUGAGGCGAACCGGGGGAACUGAAACAUCUAAGUACCCCGAGGAAAAGAAAUCAACCGAGAUUCCCCCAGUAGCGGCGAGCGAACGGGGAGGAGCCCAGAGCCUGAAUCAGCAUGUGUGUUAGUGGAAGCGUCUGGAAAGGCGCGCGAUACAGGGUGACAGCCCCGUACACAAAAGCGCAUGUGCUGUGAGCUCGAUGAGUAGGGCGGGACACGUGGUAUCCUGUCUGAAUAUGGGGGGACCAUCCUCCAAGGCUAAAUACUCCUGACUGACCGAUAGUGAACCAGUACCGUGAGGGAAAGGCGAAAAGAACCCCGGCGAGGGGAGUGAAAAAGAACCUGAAACCGUGUACGUACAAGCAGUGGGAGCCCCACCACUAAGCCAGUGGUGAACUCCACAUACGCAUCCUUUGCUGAGGAUACGGUUAACGGAGCGAAAGCGACGUUCAACCGCAAAAGAAGCAGAGGGGGCUUAGUGGUGGGGUGACUGCGUACCUUUUGUAUAAUGGGUCAGCGACUUAUAUUCUGUAGCAAGGUUAACCGAAUAGGGGAGCCG
rnacentral:rRNA from 1 species